rnacentral:rRNA from 1 species
UACGUAGGGGGCAAGCGUUGUUCGGAUUCACUGGGCGUAAAGGGUGCGUAGGUGGUGAGGUAAGUCGGAUGUGAAAGCUCGGAGCUCAACUCCGAAAUGGCAUUGGAAACUACCUUGCUCGAGGGUUGGAGGGGGGACUGGAAUACUUGGUGUAGCAGUGAAAUGCGUAGAUAUCAAGUGGAACACCAGUGGCGAAGGCGAGUCCCUGGACAACUCCUGACACUGAGGCACGAAAGCUAGGGGAGCAAACAGG